UGCCUAACACAUGCAAGUCGAACGAAACAUUCGUAGCAAUACGGAUGUUUAGUGGCGCACGGGUGAGUAAUACGUGGGUAAUCUGCCUCUAAGACUGGGAUAACCUGCCGAAAGGCGGGCUAAUACCGGAUAAGACCACAGGGACUUCGGUCCUCGAGGUCAAAGAUGGCCUCUAUUUAUAAGCUAUCACUUGGAGAUAAGCCCGCGGCCCAUCAGCUAGUUGGUAGGGUAAUGGCCUACCAAGGCUAUGACGGGUAGCUGGUCUGAGAGGACGACCAGCCACACUGGAACUGAGACACGGUCCAGACUCCUACGGGAGGCAGCAGUGGGGAAUAUUGCGCAAUGGGCGAAAGCCUGACGCAGCACCGCCGCGUGGGUGAUGAAGGCCUUCGGGUCGUAAAGCCC
rnacentral:rRNA from 1 species